CUGAUUUAACAUCUAUCAUGAUCCUGAGUUCUCUGGUUGCCUCUAUGAUAAGAGGACGGGGAUUAAUGAUGGACAAAUUAGACCUGCUUUAAGGAUUCUCCCCCGAUCAAGAGCCCUAGGGUUGUAUUUUUGUAUUGGGGAGACUGGAGACAAAUACACACUACGCUGACUGAGCAUUGUUUUAUGGUGGUGAGCUCCAUGAUGGCCACUGUAUGUAAGAAGCCCAGAGACCGAUGUGAGUAAUAGUCAAGUUCUUGUCUUGGCUUCAG
rnacentral:lncRNA from 1 species